rnacentral:ncRNA from 2 species
AUGUUAUCAAGAAAGGUGGAGAGAUUAGACUCAAUGAAACCUUGGCAACCCUUCGGAAACGGAGAAGGUGCUACAUUCUAUUCGCUUAGGCGAUGCAGAUAACAC